UAGUCCUCAACAUAACCUGUCCUCUCCUUCCUUAUCCUGUUCCUCUCCCCAUCCUCUUGACCGACGGCGGCUGGCUGAUGACGCCGGACGAAGAGGGAGAGCAAGACGACGCCCUUCCCCCAGUAACCCUCCAGCCUUUCCCCUCCCAGCCGCGGCCUCCCCAUCGAGGUAGCAGGACGGCGACGCUUGGUGUCUCCUCGAUCUCCCCUGGUCAACGCACUUCCAUGCUCGGCUACUCUACACCCCCAUACCCUCCCUGCUCGAUGCCACCGAGCUCCGGUAGUCCAGCUCAUCAAAUCCGGCGGGCCGCAGGCUGCAGCUCACCAUGUUCCACAGCGUCCAGCUCCAAUCCGAACUAUGAAGAGCUACUACAAGAUGACGAGCCAUCUGAAGAUGAAGCUGGGGUUACCAUCAAUUUAAAGAGCAAAGAAAAAAAAUUAAAACUUCAACCAGAUCAUUUUGUUGACCCUUCGUCUUGAUAUGCAUAUGAAAUCAGAUGAUGUUCCUAUUUUUUCUGGUAUUGUCUGCAUGUUAAUCAGAAUUACAAAUUUCAUUUCAUUAGAUGAUUGUUCACCCGAGCCAUAACAAUUUCAGGUUAGCUGUACUCCUAUUCCUUUUAAAUUUUCUAUAGCAUAUCAGGAUUGCAAGAUGAAGAACAAUCAAUAAGUUCAAGAAAAGCUUGAACCAAUGGCAACAAGUAAGGACAAAUUCUUUUGCAAUCAACACUAACUACUGAUUUUAGGAGUUAUAGUCAUGUUCUGGUACCCAAAAUCUUAACUAGCAUCGUUGAAAUUCUAUUCAACAUAAGUUUUAUUCUUGUCCAACCAGAUCAUUUUGUUGACCUUUUCGUCUUGGAUGUGCAUAUUAAAAUAGACGAGGUUCCUUUUUUUCAGGUAUGAUCUGCAUGUUCUGCUGCAAGUUCAUAUCUGGAAAAAAAUGCUUGUUGUGACGAGCUAGUAUUCUUUCAGGAAGCUGAACAUGCAAGUUCAUAUCUGCAAAAAAAAAAAGCAAGUUCAGCUGCAUCCACUUUGUCUCUUUCAGGAAGCCAAGAUGUCUUGUACAUAUGAUCAUGGGAGCUGCACGGUGCUCAACCUAUUGGCAUACAAAAGCAUCCCUUGAUUCACGUUAUUUGUGGAUGAUGCCCUUGUGGAGUGAUCUGGAGCUAUGGACACCUUCCCUAAAGCUUGAAACAUGUAUUUUCUGUUUAGAUUUUGUACGGUACUGGAAUGUUUGGAGCUUCAGUUUUCUACUUUGUUUUUGCUUUUCUGAACUGCCAUAGGCAGAUGUCGGUGAGCAGAUAUGUAACUGGCUGCGAUCUGGUUCCAUUUUAAUUAAAUGAUGCCGGGGGUUCCACCCUAUUUUUUGAACAAA